rnacentral:rRNA from 1 species
GAUGAACGCUGGCGGCGUGCCUAAUACAUGCAAGUCGAGCGAACAGACGAGGAGCUUGCUCCUCUGACGUUAGCGGCGGACGGGUGAGUAACACGUGGAUCACCUACCUAUAAGACUGGGAUAACUUCGGGAAACCGGAGCCAAUACCGGAUCAUAUAUUGAACCGCAUGGUUCAAUAGUGAAAGACGGUUUUGCUGUCACUUAUAGAUGGAUCCGCGCCGCAUUAGCUAGUUGGUAAGGUAACGGCUUACCAAGGCAACGAUGCGUAGCCGACCUGAGAGGGUGAUCGGCCACACUGGAACUGAGACACGGUCCAGACUCCUACGGGAGGCAGCAGUAGGGAAUCUUCCGCAAUGGGCGAAAGCCUGACGGAGCAACGCCGCGUGAGUGAUGAAGGUCUUCGGAUCGUAAAACUCUGUUAUUGGGGAAGAACAAAUGUGUAAGUAACUAUGCACGUCUUGACGGUACCUAAUCAGAAAGCCACGGCUAACUACGUG